CUCCCGGAUUGGAUCAUUAUCCAGAAAAAAAAAAAAAAGAAGCUUUUAAAGAGCAUUUUUGUGACAACAAGCAAGUAUUGUAUUCGGAAUUGGUAUCAGAUAAUAGCAUCAUAUCAACAAUGUUAAGUUUUCUCAAUUUAUUAAAUGUGCUAUGAUGAAGUAACCGAAAGGUUUGAUUUUAAGAAACACAUGCUUGGGUAUUUACAGAUAACAAAAUUAAACAUAUGGAGUACAAAAUACAAACCAAAGAAGACAGAGCACGGUACAAGUUGCUUCCUUAAGAGGAAGGCUCCCAAGCAAAGACCCUGCUUUCCAUCUGUGAAAUGGAGUCAGCUCAUCUACCUCAUGGCGCCAUUGUGGGAGAAGAUGUACCGAUUUUGCGCCAAUAACACCCGAGCUCUCAGAAGAGGAGGUUGCAUUUCAUAGGUGUUUCUCCUGGAGCAGGAUAUGUAGCCGAUUCAUGUUCUUGCUUCUAAUUCCUAGCACUGUGCCUAGCAUGGAUAAGAAACUCAGUAAUUAUUUGCUGAAUGAAUGCCAAAGUGCAUUCAGAUCUGCUGGUUGCAAUGCCUUUGACUCUCUAACAUACUAAGGAAGAGAUUCACUAGAUGGUCCCAAUCCCAGUGCAGGAGGCCCUGCGGUCCUCGCUGGGCGACAGGGAUUGGGCAAAGGCGAGGGUGUAGACUCAUGGGAUUGCCCUGAUCCCUGAGGGCCAGACAUGGCUAGAACAUGAGUGCCAGAAAAGCAGAGACUGAGCGAUGAGUGGUGCUUAUAUCCGUGUCCCCGGUUGGUGCUCUGCGGUUGGUGCUCAGGAAAUAUUAAAUGAGUGGGAGAGAUGUGGGGUAUCAUAGCAGAUGUUUUUUGUUCUGUGCUAAACUAUCUCCGCCUAACUCGGAUUUCAGGUGCAGCUGUAGCAGAAACGUGUAUGCGCUCUGGAAGUGUCUCACCUUGUGUUUCUGCCGAUCCUCUGUUUCUCCUCCUCAGGCUUUUUUUGCCAGUCAGUUUCUCCGGUUGAAUGGUGAGUGACAGGUGGUUGCAGGGCUAGUGCCAGGCCUGGGGGCUGCCCUGUGUGCAGUGAUCUUGAUAUGACAGGAGCAAAGCUCCCGAGCUGCCGCAGCUGCCUCACCCGGGGAGUGGCCUAGCAUGGAAGGGUGGUGAAGUUAAUGUUCCCUCAACUAGCGGGGAAGGGAGACGGGUAAAUCCCCAGAGUUGUGGCCUGUGGAAGACAGAUCUGAAGUGCGGUCUGUGUGGUUUCUCAAAGGAUCCCUGAGAGAACUGAGUCCCAGUGAUCCUCGGUGGUAAUCAGAUCAAGAAUAUAUUCUUCAUUGGACCUUUUGCCUUCCCAUCUGACUCUUCCCACUUCUACCCUGAUUUCUGAGAUCACCUCCCUUACAAAUUAUCUGCACCAGGGAACUUUCUCAAUUUUGGCUUUUGGGGAGAGCCAAACUAAGUUGGAAUGCAAUACUAUCUCUUUGCCUACAACCCCACCCCCUCCUAAAACCCGCACCCCACCGGACACAGAAUUAUAAUAUGUUGAGAAGGAAGAUGUAUUGUUUGUUCUUCUAAUCUGACAAAAGAGAAAGAAACUACAAAGAGACUACAAUUACUGAGAGAAACCAUGGAAUUCUCUACAAGUUUUACUGUCUACACGUUUUUCUUUGAAUUGAGUCAUGGUGACACUCAUGAGAAAAUCAGGCUAUGUAGACCAGUGUGGUUCUGACCCUUUUGUUAAAGGGCUCGUCCCUACUAUCAGUUUGAUGGCCAACAUUUCCAGGGUCCUGUUGACACAGCUUCAUUAAGUCUGUGAUUUCAGGGGUGAGGAUACCAGGGCUGUUAGUUCUGAGCAACGAGAAUAAAGAAAACUUUCGGAACUAGAAACCUUGGAUU
rnacentral:lncRNA from 1 species